GGUAUCCUGGCCGAGCGGUCUAAGGCGCCAGGUUAAGGCUUCCUGGUCUCUUCGGAGGCGUGAGUUCGAAUCUCACGGAUAUCA